GAGUUUGAUCCUGGCUCAGGAUCAACGCUGGCGGCGUGCCUAAUGCAUGCAAGUCGCACGGGUGGCCUUCGGGUCAUCAGUGGCGAACGGCUGAGGAACACGUACGAAUCUGCCCUCCGGUGGGGAACAACGCACCGAAAGGUGUGCUAAUACCGCGUACGCUAGGGAACUAGGAAAGCAGCGAUGCGCCGGAGGAGGAGCGUGCGGCCCAUCAGGUAGUUGGCGGGGUAAGUGCCCACCAAGCCAUUGACGGGUCGCUGGUCUGUGAGGACGAUCAGCCAGACUGGGACUGCGACACGGCCCAGACACCUACGGGUGGCAGCAGCAAGGAAUCUUCGGCACUGGGCGCAAGCCUGACCGAGCAACGCCGCGUGGAGGAUGACGGCCUUCGGGUUGUAAACUCCUUUGAGGUGGGAUGAAACGGACAGUACCACCAAAACAAGCCCCGGCUAACUCUGUGCCAGCAGCCGCGGUAAGACAGAGGGGGCGAGCGUUGUCCGGAGUGACUGGGCGUAAAGCGCGUGCAGGCGGACCGCGACGUGCCGUGUGACAACUCACCGCUCACCGGUGAGGGGCCAGGGUAAACGGGCGGUCUAGAGGGUUGGAGAGGGAUGUGGAAUACCCGGUGGAGCGGUGAAAUGCGUAGAGAUCGGGUGGAACACCAGGGGCGAAGGCGGCAUCCUGGCCAACAACUGACGCUNANGCGCGAGAGCGUGGGGAGCAAACGGGACUAGAUACCCUGGUAGUCCACGCCGUAAACGAUGCAUAUUAUUAGUAUGGAGUAUCGACCCUCUGUGCUGAAAAGCUAACGCGAUAANUAUGCCGCCUGGGGAGUACGAUCGCAAGAUUAAAACUCAAAGAAUUGACGGGCUCCNCACAAGCAGUGGAUCAUGUGGUUAAUUCNAUGNUACCCAAAACCUUACAGGNCUGACUUCCUNUNUACUUUAGAAACUAAGCUCAUUCGCUGGAUAGUNAAAANCUNCAUGGCCUCUCACUCUNUCUGAAUUUGGUUAAUCCCCAACANCCANCCUNUCUUUNUUUNUUUCNNAACCCCCGNCACCGGANAAGGGGAAA
rnacentral:rRNA from 1 species